rnacentral:rRNA from 1 species
AUACCGAGCCUUCUAAGGUCUUGGUAAUUGGAAUGAGUACAAUUUAAAUCCCUUAACGAUGAUCCACUGGAGGGCAAGUUUGGUGCCAGCAGCCGCGGUAACACCAGCUCCAGUAGCGCAUAUUAAAGUUGUUGCAGUUAAAAAGCUCGUAGUUGGAUUUCUGGCAUGACAGGCCUAGCCCAUGCGGUUCGCCGUUAUGAGUGCUGGUGCCUAUCUGUCAUCCUUCUAGAGGUGUACGACUCCCGUUCUGCGGUGUGGUUGUACGGUUCUAGAUCUUUUACUUUGAAAAAAUUAGAGUGUUUAAAGCAGGCUUUCGCUUUUGAAUACAUUAGCAUGGAAUAAUAAUAUAGGACUUCGUACUAUUUUGUUGGUUUCGGGACGAAGUAAUGAUUGAUAGGGAUAGUUGGGGGUGCUCGUAUCAAGUGUUCAGAGGUGAAAUUCUUGUAUCCACUUGAGACGAACUUAUGCGAAAGCAUGCACCAAGGAUGUCUUCUUUAAUCAAGAACGAAAGUUGGGGGAUCGAAGACGAUCAGAUACCGUCGUAGUCUCAACCAUAAACUAUACCGACUAAGGAUGAGUGAACGUUGCAUUUUCGACUUCAUUCGCACUUUAUGAGAAAUCAAAGUUUUUGGGUUCUGGGGGGAGUAUGGUCGCAAGGCUGAAACUUAAAGGAAUUGACGGAAGGGCACCACCAGGCGUGGAACCUGCGGCUUAAUUUGACCCAACACGGGAAAACUUACCAGGUCCAGACUCAAUAAGGAUUGACAGGUUGACGACCUUUCUUGAUUUUGAGGGUGGUGGUGCAUGGCCGUUCUUAGUUGGUGGAGUGAUUUGUCUGGUUAAUUCCGUUAACGAACGAGACCUCGACCUGCUAAAUAGUGGUGGCAACCUUCGGGUUGACCGCAACUUCUUAGAGGGACUAUUGGUGCGUAGCCAAUGGAAGUUCGAGGCAAUAACAGGUCUGUGAUGCCCUUAGAUGUUCUGGACCGCACGUGCGUUACAAUGGGGGGUGCAUCAAGUAUACAACCUGAACCGAGAGGUUUGGGUAAUCUUUUCAACGCCCUCCGUGCUGGGGAUAGAUUAUUGUAAUUAUUAAUCUUGAACGUGGAAUGCCUAGUAAACGCGAGUCAUCAACUCGCAUUGAUUACGUCCCUGCCCUUUGUACACACCGCCCGUCGCUACUACCGAUUGGAUGGCUUAGUGAGUUUUAGGGACUGUGCCUCAAACUUGGCUUGCCUUGUUAGAGUGCGUAAGAACUAAAGCAAACUUGACCAUCUAGAGGAAGUAAAAGUC